CGACCACUACAUCGAGCGUGCACUGC
rnacentral:piRNA from 1 species